rnacentral:lncRNA from 1 species
GUGGAGUGGACCCCAUCCUAAGAAACAAAUGAUUUUCGAAAGCUUGGAUUGGGUUCACAUCUUAGUGCAUGUAUUAAGAGGUUGUAAUAGUUUAGACUUGGACAUUACUUACUCUCUCUCUCUCUCUCUCCUUCUGAUAUAUCUCUUUAUUAACAUUUUCUAUCACUUAAUUUCUAGCUACAUUUGCCUCAAAGAACACCUGACGCAGAUCGACACCAACGCAAAAUGAAACAAGGAGGUAUUAGUGUGAUAUGCAUGUGGUGGUGGUGGAAUUAUGGCAUCUAGAUCCAGUAAUUAGUUGAACAAAAGAGAAAUUGAUCCGCUAAAUCAAGCAUGCAUGCUGAGAUGGUAACUGCUGCAACUCAUCUAUGCAACGAUUGCCAUGACAAAUUAAUUAGUCUUCUGGACCAGCAAGAAAGCAGGAUUUUGGAAGUCAAUAUGGCAAUGCCAAACUGGGAACUCCAGGUGUGUUGAACAUUCUUCUGCUGAAUUGUAUAAAAAAAAAAUUCUAACAUUUGGGCAACUUUUAGCACCUGGCCUUUUUUUACCCCUUACUUUUGGUUUAAAUGUAGAUUACAAGACUCAAGAUUAGCUAGCUAUUGUGGUGACUGACUGAAGGAGACAAAUGAAUUGGUAGCUAGUAUUGGAGGUUUGGGAAAUUUGGAUUAGAAACCAGAGUACUGUACUCAGAUAUAGUAGUAAUUUAUAUUGAAAAGUGAAUUUGAGAUGUAUAUAUGGAUAGUUUGGUAUAUAUUUUGUGGAUGUAGUAAUUUGAAACUAUAAACGAAUGAUAUUAUUGGGAUGUAUUUUGAAUGGUUGAUACAUUUUGGCUUUAAAUUUAAAUGAGAAUUUAGACCUUUUAGCUAUAUAUAAUGGCAUUAGCAUAUUGUAG